rnacentral:rRNA from 1 species
GACGAACGCUGGCGGCGUGCUUAACACAUGCAAGUCGAACGGUAAGGCCUUUCGGGGUACACGAGUGGCGAACGGGUGAGUAACACGUGGGUGAUCUGCCCUGCACUUCGGGAUAAGCCCGGGAAGCUGGGUCUAAUACCGGAUAGGACUGCGCGGUGCAUGCCGUGUGGUGGAAAGAUUUAUCGGUGCAGGAUGGGCCCGCGGCCUAUCAGCUUGUUGGUGGGGUAAUGGCCUACCAAGGCGACGACGGGUAGCCGGCCUGAGAGGGCGACCGGCCACACUGGGACUGAGACACGGCCCAGACUCCUACGGGAGGCAGCAGUGGGGAAUAUUGCACAAUGGGCGCAAGCCUGAUGCAGCGACGCCGCGUGAGGGAUGACGGCCUUCGGGUUGUAAACCUCUUUCAGCAGGGACGAAGCGUGAGUGACGGUACCUGCAGAAGAAGCACCGGCCAACUACGUG